rnacentral:snoRNA from 9 species
CUUCCCUAUGAAGAAUGAUAUUUGUAUGUUAAAUAAAAGUAGUGGGCUGAUCUCCAUUGAUGACUGACCAAUUCUGAGGGAUG